UGGUUGUGGCUCAGUGGUAGAGCGCUCACCUAGCAUGUGCAAGGCCCUGGGUUCGAUCCUCAGCACCAA
rnacentral:tRNA from 1 species